rnacentral:lncRNA from 1 species
GUCAGAGAAGUGAAGUAACUUGUUUACAGUCACACAGCCAAGCCAAACUUCCUGCCUCCCAGCUUACAAACAGAGCAGUGGGUCCACCCAUCUUGAUCCUGGGGUACUGACAAGAAAUAUUUUGGAGAAGUUAGAUAGGGUAGAGGCAGAAGUAGACGCAAUUAAACAUGAAGGAUUGUGAAGGCAAAAGAUGAACCAGCCAGCCUAGUCUCUGGAUGCAUAAGCUCCAAGUGUGGAGGAGACCCGGAGAGAAAAGCAGACUGUUCUCUGUGUUUACCUGUAAGCACAGGCCGCAACCUGCCAUGCUGUUUUUAAAUGCCCAAGAGCUGGUGACAAGAGGGUUUCCCUUUGCCAUCUGGACCUGAUUGCCUUAGAGCAUCCUACCCAGCUUCUAAUCUAAGCUCAAACACACCCUCCUUCAGGAAGAUUUGCUGUUCUACCUUCUCCCCACCAAGCAGAGUGAAGGGAUUCUUCUUUGGAACUCCCACUCUCCUUUAUUUAUCUCCAGAUGGAUGAAAAAGGAAGAGGGUUUCUGUUUUGCUAAAAGCCCUCUGUGAAAGUCGACAUUGCAAACCACAGUGACACGUGGAUAAAACUCACGUUGUUGGGGGGAGAAGAGCAAAACAUAUGCUUCACAAUAAAAACACUCAGUAUCCUAGGAAUAGGAGGGAACUUCCUCAACCAGAUAAAGGGCAUCUAUGAAAAACCCAGAGCUAACAUCACACUUAAUCGUGAAAGACUGAAAGCUUUCCCUCUAAAAUCAGAAACAAGAAAAGGAUGUCUACUACUGCCACUGCUAUUCAACAUUGUUCUGGAAAAUUCUAGGCAGAACAAGUAGGCAAGAGAAAAGAAGAGGUAUCCAGAUUGGAAAGGAAGAAAUAAAACUGUCUCUGUUUGACAGUUGUCAUAACCUUGUACAUAGAAGAUUAUGAAGAAGCUACCAAAAACUAUUUGAAUGACUAAACAAGUUUAGUAUGGUUGCAGGAUACAAGAUCAAUAUGCAAAAACCAGCUGUAGUUCUUCUAUAUGUUGAAAAGAAGAAAAUUUAGAACGAAAUUAAGAAAAAUUCAUUCACAAGAGCAUCAAAAAGGAUAAAAAAUAAGGCCAGGCAUGGUGGCUCAUGCCAGUUAAUCCCAGCACUAUGGGAGGCUGAGGAAGGAGGAUCACUCAAGCCCAGGAGUUUGAGACCACCUGAGCAACACGGCAAGACUCUAUCUCUACCAAAAAUUUUAAAAAAUUAGCCAGGUGUAGUGGCCAUGCCUGCAGUCCUAGUUACUCAGGAGGUUGAGGUGGGAGGAUCACUUGAACUCAGGAGAUUGAGGCUGCAGUGAGCUAUGAUCUGGCCACUGUACUCCAGCCUGGGUGUCAGAGAGAGAGACCCUGUCUCUAAAUGAAAAUAAAUAAAUACAUAAAAUUUUAAAAAAGAAUGAAAUACUUAGGAAUACAUUUAACCAAAGAAGUAUGAGGCUUUUUACAUUGCAAAACUAUAUAACAUUGUUGAAAGAAACUAAAGAAGACCUAAAUAAAUGGAAAGACAUCCCAUGUUUAUAGAUGGAAAAGUUUAAUAUUAAGAUAGCAAAACUUCUCAAAUUGAUCUACAGAUUCAAUGCCAUCCUUUCAAAAUACCAGCUAACUUUUUUGCAGAAGUUAACAAACCAAUCCUAAAAUUCAUAUGGAAAUUCAAGAGAAUCAGAGCAGUUAACCUUCAAAAAGAACAAAGUUGGAGGGUUCAUACUUCCUGAGUACUAAAACUUAGUACAAAGCUAUAGUAAUCAGAUACUAUGAAAUUGACAUAAGGACAGACAUAUAGAUCACUUGACUAGGCUUGACAGUCCAGAAAUAAACCUUCACAUUUCUGAUCAAUUGAUUUUCUACGAGGCAGCCAACACAAUUCUGUUUUAAAUAUGGUGGUAGGACAACGGAGUAGCUACAUUCAAAAGAAUGAAGUGAGACCCUUAACUCACACCAUAAACAAAAACUAAUUCAAAAUGGAUCAAAGACCUAAAUGCAAGCAUUAAAACUAUAAAACUCUUAGAAGAAAACAUAGGAGGAAAUCUUCAUGACCUUGGAUUAGUCAAUGGAUUCUAAGAUAUGAUACCCAAAGCAUAAGCAACAAAAGAAAAAAUAGAAAAAUUGGACUUUAUUUUUUUAAGAGAUGGGGUCUUGUUAUGUUGCCCAGGCUGGACUUGAAAUCCUAGGCUCAAGUGAUCCUCCUACCUCAGCCUCCUGAGUUGCUGGGACUACAAACAUGUACCGCCAUGCCCAGCUAAAUUGGACUUUAAAAUGGAAAACUUUUGUGCUUCAAAGACGUCAAAAAAGUGAAGACAACCCACAGAAUGAGAGAAAAUUUUCACAAAUUGUAUAUCUGAUAAGAGACUUGUGCCUAGAAUCUAUAAAGAAUGAUUACCACUCAAUAAUAAAAAGACAAAUAACCCCAUUAAAAACAGGCAAAGGAUCUGAAUAGACGUUUCUCCAAAGAAGAUAAAUAAAUGGCCGAUAAACACUUGAAAAGAUGCUCAACAUCAUUUGCCAUCAGGGAAAAGCAAAUCAAAACCAUGAUGAGAUGAUGAGAUACCACUUCACACCCACUAGGGUGGCUAUAAUAAAAAAGACAGAUCGUAAUAACUGUUGGCAAGGAGGUAGUGAAAUUCGAACCAUCAUCACACAUUGCUGGUGGGAAUGUAAAGUAGCACAGAGCUUUGAAAAACUGUUUGGCAGUUUCUCAAAAACUUAGAGUUACCAUAUGACUCAGCAACUUCCCUCGUAGGUAUAUAGAAGAGAAAUGAAAACAUAUGUCCACACAAAAACUUGUACAUGAAUGUUCAUAGCCGUAUUAUUCAUAAUAGCCAAAAGUGGAAAUCACCCAAAUGGUAAACUGAUGAGUGAAUAAAUAAAAUGUGCUUUAUACAUAUGAUGAAACAUUCUUUGUCAAUAAUGAAGAACUGAUCCCUGCCGCAACAUGGGGGAACUUAAAAGCAUGAUGUUAAGUGAAGGAAGUCAGAUUCAAAGGUCCAUGAUUCCAUUAUAAAUGGCAUUCCAUCUGUGGAAUUCCAUAUAUGGAACGUCUAGAAUAGGAACACUUCCUUUCUAUAGAGACAGAAAGGAAAUUAGGAGUUGCCAAGAGAGGAUGGGGAGACUGGUGGGUGAUGGCUGAGAAGGUGGCCGUGUUUCUUUUUGGGGUAACGAAAGUGUUCUGAAAUUGAUUGUAGUGAUGGCAGUACAACUCUGAAUUUACUGAAAGCCAUUGACUUGUACAUUUUAAAUUGGUGACUUGUACGGUGUACGAAUUACAUCUCAAUAAAGCUGGUUUUCUUUUCUUUGUUUCUUUAUUUUAAUAGACAGGGUCUCACUCUGUUGCCCAGGCCGGAGUGCAGUGGUGCGAUCAUAGCUCACUGCAGCCUUGAACUCUUGAGCUCAAGCAAUCCCCCCACCUCAGCCUCCCAAGUAGCUGAGACUAUAGGCAUUUGCCACCAUACCCAGCUAAUUUUGUUUAUUUUUUGUAGAGAUGAGGUCUUGCUAUGUUGCCCAGGCUGGUCUUGAACUCCUUGGCUCAAGUAAUCCUCUUGCCUUGGCCUUCCAAAUUGCUGGAAUUACAGGCAUGAGCCACCACACCCAGCUAAUAAAGCUCUUUAAAAAAAAAAAAGUUGCAUAUGGAUACAUACAACAUAUCAUUUAUAUGAAAAUAUUGAAAC